GCUGGGUGUAGUGGUGUAUGCCUGUAAUCCCAGCUACUUGGGAGGCUGAGGCAUGAGGAUCAUUUGAACCCAGGAGGCAGAGGUUGCAGUGAGCUCAGAUAGUGCCACUGCACUCCCGCCUGGGUGACAGAGUGAGACUGUGUCUCAA
rnacentral:SRP_RNA from 1 species